UUGGGGAUAUAGCUCAAUUGGUAGAGUGCUUGCCUUGUAUGCAACAGGGUCCUGGGUUUAAUCCCCAGCACCAAA
rnacentral:tRNA from 1 species